UUCGCCAUGAAGUGAUGAGACUGGAUGCCCUGGUCUUAGUUUUCUCAAUGCUGAGUUUUAAGCCAACUUUGCUCAACGAACUAGUAAAAUGAGAGAAGAUCAAUCUGAUCACAGCACAUCAGGAUCUCAGAUCCCACAUCCUAACUAACAAAUUUCAAUCAACAUGUCUGAAACAAAUUUCAAUUAACACAGUCUGGUUCUCUUAUGCACUGGCUGCAUAAAUCUUUUAGGUGUCACAUGAGUGACUCCCUAAAACUCCCAAUUCUUUUUCACACUUGAUCCUGCGAAGCUACCACCUAUAUCUACCUGUAGAGUUGGAUUCAGAGGCCCAAGCAUAAGCCCUUAUAUAUUAUCUGCAAUCAAAUUUCAUCUUAUAACAUUCUUGCCUAUCAAUAUUUUCUCCAUCUGAAUUCUGACACCCUAUGGAUAGAUUUUUGCUCUCUCAGCUUCCUGCAUUUGAAAAUAUGAUUAUCAUGUAAUGAGAUUCUCCACCUAAGUCACUAGCAAGAGAACAGGGCUGAGGACAAGCUGCCAGAUAGAGGCUCUUCUCUUCCCAUUGGUCAGCAGCUUUUGAAUAAAGUCUAUAUCUGAUCCAAAAUAACAUCUAGAGACUUUCUCAAACAUCCUGCUGAAAUCCUAUCACUGGUAUCUGGUGAAUUUUCCUAGUUUACCAGGGUGUAACUCCAAUUCAAAAAGGAAAUUCUUUACACCUCUAGUUGUUAGUGAAUUACACAGUUAUCCCAAGAGGCACCACUUCCUUUAAGUGCUCAAAACAACCCUGCUAAUGAUUUAAGAACUGGAGUAGGUUUCCCUAUCUAAAGUCCACAGCAUCUGCCUUCCUUCCCUUUGUGAACAUGGGAUACUUUCAAGGGACAUCUGAGCUUCUUUAUCAAUAGUGUUUUAAACAAUCUCUAUCAUGGAGCUCUCUUCUGUCCACCCUGAAUGAUAAACAAGCUUAUCAGCUAAAGGCAUUUCACAUUCUCGAAGACAAGCAGCCCAAGUUUUUUAAAUAAGAUAAACGUCACAAUACCUAAUUCAGAAUCAAUUGAUAUUUCUGAAGAUACACUAUAACUCAAGUAAAUUUACAUAUAUUAUUUGACUAUUCUUCACAACAACCUUGUGAAGAAAGUAUGACUUAUGCUCAUUUGCUGACAGUUAAACUAAGGUUCAGCAAAGUGAAAUACCAUGUGUUAAGCUCACUGAGGUGAUAACAGAACCGAGCUAGGAUAGCAAUCUGAUUCUUUUAAAAACAUCUUCCUUCUUACUACUACAGGAUCACUUAUAACCAUUCCUAAGCAACUCUUCUUUUGAGAUCUUUCCAAAAUAAACCAUUAUCUAAGGCUACAAAAUGUUUGCUACUCUCUAAAUACAUUCAGGUACAUGCCUUUUCCUUGCACUGCUCAAAAGCAAGGUAUUUCAGCCUUCAACACUUGAAAGAUCUUACAAGAGACAAUCAUAUUUUCAAGGUGACUCCCCAGUUGAUGGCUGAUUUUUAACUGCCCAUUUUUAUUGCAGUGGGUUUUGAACAGGGUAGGUAAUUUAUGAGCUAAUACAAUUAAGUAAAUUAACUAUUGAACAGUUAUCUCUACUAAGACACUGUAUAUUCUGUGUACGGAAAUCAGUUCAAGAUCAAUUCAGCAAACCCUUCUUUACUAAAUACAAUACUGUCAUAGUUUAAAAGCUCUGUAUGGGAAAGAAAAAUAUUUAUGUGAAGAAUAACAUGCAAACUCAAUUACAAAGUGAAGGAAAUGACACAUCAAAAAUAUUUAGGAGUUUAUUUUUCCUUAAAUAUUUGCAUCACAUGUAGGAUUUAUAAAAAUCUUUUCUUCUCUUUCAUGGGUACGUCACAGACUCACCCACUAUUAUCUUCUAGUAUUAGUGACACUUCAAGUUUCUUUUCAUUGUGAGUCAUUCUCCUGAAUAUUAAACAAAAUAAAUCAUAGGUCUAAUCAAAAGAAGCAAGAAAUGAUAAAUUUCAGCACUAUUUCAUUACAAGCUCAAAAGGAUUUUUCAACUCUUCACUGAUUAAUUAUAUUUCAUUAGCAUUUCAAUGUAACAUUUUAAAGCACUCAUCUGGAAAACUCAUCCUGUGAGCUUAUCUUCACCCAAGUACCUAUCCUAUGCUCAUAGACUCCGUUCUAUUUACUUUUGAUUAAGUUCCAUGCAGCAUUUUUCAAAACACAAAUAAGAUUAACUUUGUGAUCUUGUAAUAUAAAAUCGGAAGAGAGCAACUACAUACAAACAACUCCAGCAUAUUUAUUCCUGAUUCAUUUUUCCCUUCUACUGCAUUCAAGAAAGAAAAUUAGCAAAAAAUGUAAUUAAAAUAAUGACUGACUUCUAAAUCUAGUCACACGGAAAGGUACAGAAUGCCGAAAAUAUGCAUAUACAUCAACAGCCUGGGCAAUGAUCACAUCCAUGCUGAAGGGGUACUGCAUUUACUGGGGUAAACAAUAUGGUUUGUGUUAUAAGCCUUUUGCACACUUUAUGUAAGUAAACAAACAAUAACAAAGAACAGAUGUGUCACAUUUCACUUGUUUCAAAGGAAUAGGAUCAGAUCUUUGGAAGCACUCAGCCUCGGGAGAAUAAUUCCUCUUUGCUUCUCAUUUCAUAGCCACACCCAUCCUAGAAGUUUCCUGAGGACUGGUUUUCGUUUAUUUUUUUUAAAUCCUUAUUCUUUAGUUUUCCCAUAGCAUAUUCUGCCACAACCCAACUUCUGCUCAGACUAUAAUUAGAACAAUGUCUUAGGGUAUCGCGAUAAGGGUCUCAGGCAAGUCAGCAGACAGCUGUCAUCAGAUAAAGACCAAAACUGACUGUCUUUAAAAAUGCUGUUAAAUGUGUAUGUAGUUAAUGUAUGCAUAACAGCUGUUCACCCUUUUGUGCAGUUACAAAUGAGAUAUUCCUACUAAUUUUGGAGGAGACAAUUCAUUUAACAAUAGCCUAAUGAAUCCUUCAAAUGCUCUAAUAAGUUACUGUUACACACACAUUUUAUAGAGAAAGGCAUAGCAUCUUUCUCCCUGAAAGAGGAUAUCCUGUUGUAGGGAGAAAAAGUCAAAUGUGUAAUUAGCAUUUUUAAUAAGUGCACACAAGAAGUAUGCAGUAAUUCUUCCAGAUAAACAGUGGGGAAACCAGCUGCUUCUGGCUUGGAAGCAAGGAAGCUUCACCAAAAAAAACAACUGAACUAUUACAAAACUAACUGAAAUUGGCAAAAUGGCUGUGAGUAGUUGAAAUUGUAUAAGUAAAUGAAAGGCUUUUAUACUAUUUCACUCUUUUUAUAAUUUGAGGUUUUUGUCAAUGAAGUUUUUGAAAAGUGUUUGGGGAAACAUACUGACUCUGAAAUAUAAGUAAGCCAUACUGAUUUAGAGAGUCAGGAGUGAGGACUGGGAAGGAAUACAGCUUGAGGAGCCUGUCUUCACUUUUUCCCUAGCUACCUCACUUUUAGACUGUUUAUGGUGAAGACACUCAUAAAAAAUUAGCUAUAUAUUAUUACACCUUUCCAAGACCUACAAUUUUAAAGUGCUCUAAAUGCCUUCCUGUAGUACACCAUCAACCAUGAAGGAGGACACUGCUGCUGUAGACUUUAAAGCUCAUUUUCAACCAUUCAAUAAACAUCUGAACUUAUAUCUCCUUAGAUUGCCAGGAUCCCAAAGCCACACUUUUGAACAGCAUCAACAAUACUAUAAUCAACAAAACCAAUGGCUUUUUCCAACCUAAGAAAAUGUUUAAAAAUAAUCUGGCUUCAAAUUUUUCACUAAAUGAUAGAAAAAACAAAUUUAUGAACGUCAGAGUUUAAUCUGGAACUCAUUCUGAAAUUCCCUAUUAUUUAAACUAGGUAUUAAGCCAGACAUGCUUCUUCAAAUCUAAAUGCCAAAGGCUAGCACUUCAGGGCUGAUACAUAUAGUAACUGGUUCUGGCUUCACAGUGUCUUCUGCACUAUUUACUACCAUAUAAUUAACCCUUUGGUACACAGUGCACAAUCACCUAACCUGACCUCAGCAGAAGCAAAUGCUAGAAAGCAGUGACACUGUAUCCAAUAGAAAGUUACUACUACAGCAUCUGCAAUCAGCAGGAUCAAGGACUGCACCCCCGGUUGGUUCCAAGCAGCACGGGGCAACCUCAAAGAGAAUCAUAAAUAUUCUCCCACCUGAAAUACAGGAAGAAGCGUAUCCUGACAAGGUACUUGGACUUCACCCACUCCCAUAUCAUUUCUCUUAGUAAAGAAGCUUCUGGCCAAAAAAAAGUGCUCUGUUUGGACAAGUCCUCUUUGUGUCUUGGUGGUCUUGGUUUUUAAAUGUUGUCUCCCCAACAAGGCAGAAAUUAUGUCUUUACGUUGCCAGGAUCCCGAAGCCACAGUUUUGAAUGUCACCAGCAAUACUAUAAUCAACAAAACCAAUGCCCUUUUCCAAUCCUUAACCUAAUUUGAAUCUGUUAUUACUUAUUAUCUUCUCGUUCCUUGACAAGGCACUUUCAGAUCUUUGCUCCAAACUUCAUUGCAAUGCCAUCAGUAUCUUAAGGGCAGAUGCCACGGUCAAGACAAGAAAACACUUCAGAGUCUCUGUGUGGCAGCUGAUAGGAAGACAAAAGAUGAAUAACACAUGUCCCUGUAACUUCUUUUCAUAUGUGCACCGCGGCCAUUUGCACUGUAGCUGAGCAAUAGAUCUCUUAAAGCAGAUGAACUGAUGUAAGCAGCAUAUUAUAUUCCAUGAACUAGAAAAAUCCAUGUAAAGAAAGAAUAGUUCAUGGCAUCUUUUUACGAAACUAAAGCAUGGAAAAACGGAGCUAUGCAAAAUGUUUUCACAUCAAGUCCUUCCAGUGGGAAACAGAUGUAAAACUCCCUGUUCUCUAUUUUGAAAGAAUAAAUGCCCUUACUAAAAUUCUUCUCUCUGUAUGUUGAGUUUCAUGGUUUAUAACUCCCACUUUUGCUUGCUAUUCCUUUCUUUUUUAUGAACUGAGUCCAUAGCAGCAAAAAAAAAAAUCUGCCUUGGAAAGAAACACAGCCAAUUACAUUCAGAUGGCUGAAAUUGAGAUGGUGCUUACUUUCUUUUCGAGGAGUUAGAGAUCCUUUGUUCUGUGAAUGGAGGGAAGGAUCUGAGAAGAAACGGGAAGAUUAAGUUUGCAUGGAAGAGUCCCAGGUUGCUGGACUCUUUCUCAACUAAGUAAAAGGGAAGGUCAUCUUCCAGGGAUGAGGGAAACAAGGUUGAAUAGUAAAGAGGACCUCAAAGAUUUGAAUUAUUCAUUUAGGGAAGGCAGAGCUAAGAACAAACAAAAGAAACAUAGACCCAGUCCUUAAAAAAAAUGAACAACAAAAUUAGAAAUAUAAUGCAUGUCCAGUAUUACAAAUCAGUUAAAAUACAAAAGGGGUGAGGGUCUUUGCGGGAAAGGUGAUAUAAUUAUAGCAAUAUGUUUCUGAAGAUGAAAGUAGAGGAAAUAUUAAAAUAAGCUUAGAAACAAGCAAAUAAGCCUACCCAUUCAAGUUUCGUUUUUAAUGUACAUUAAAGAAGAUGGUAAAAAAAAAAAAUGUAAAUACGGAAUAACGUGGAGUUCAGGUCCCCUGUGCGUGGGCAUGAAACUGUAUCUGCCUAACUGAAGAUGAUUCUCAUCUUGUGUUUGCCUAACAGUAAUAAUUUUGAUGGAACCUCUGGGUUGGGAAUAAAUGAGAGCAGAGAAAGGCAAAAAAAAAAAAAAAAAAACCACACACACAAAAGACUAUAAUAUAGCUCUUCCUUUUCUGCAGUUCACAGUUAUCAGAAGCUGCAUUAUCACUUAUGCCACAACCUCUCAAAACAAAAACAAAUAAAAAUUUUAAAAAUCACAGUCAUUAGCGAAGAUGACCAAGCCGCCAAAAUGAGAAGUUUGUCAAAACUUCUGUGAAGUCAUCAUAACCCCAGACUACCUAAACGGAAUCACAUAUUUACAAAUCACAAAUGAGCUUCAAUGAAAAUGGAUAGUAGUGGAGAUGGUGCUAAGAAAUCACAAAGGCAUUACUAGUGAACCACCAAUCAGUAACACUGUCAACCUGGUUAUGACACAGAAUUACACAAAUCCUGCCGCCCCACCCCCACCCAGGGAACGUUAGCACGUUACCAAAACACAGCAGGUUCUAGACAAAGGUCUCAAAAACCUGAAUGGGUCUGUGGUGAAAAGCGUCUCACGAGCGGGCAGGAGAAAGCCUAUUGCAUUAGGAAAAAGGCAGAUAGUAAGUAAAUCCUGGCCAAAGGUAUUAACUCCAAGCGAAUUUACAGACUCACAACAGAGACCUGUCUGCCUACAUCCCAAACACACUGUAACAAAUAAGCUCCAGAAACAAGAGAAAACUGUUCUUAAGCUGGACCUCUCCCUUCAGAGUUCGGAGACCAGAAGGGAGAGCUCUCUGGCCGUGCAACCAUAGCAGACUGAAGAGGAAGAAGAAAGACUGCUCUUCUUUCCUGGGUUCAGGGCUGAUAAAGGUCUGGAUUUGGCCCCUCUCCCUCCCAGAAGCUUAACUCAGGGAAAGAACACUGUUGCUGAUUCUGCGAUCUUUGUCAGGGUUGAACGCAGCCCAACACCUGACGCUCCUUUGAUGUUUCUGAGCCCUGCCCUCUGUGGGGCCCUGGGCAGAUACAA